CAGCAGAACUCCCUGUCCAAGCAGGCUCAUAGCAGCUACGCAGACAACAGAGAAGGAAGCUGCUUGCUGUAGCUGGCACCUUAAGGACGACAGACAGCCGACAGGGCAACUCACCCUGAAGCUGCUGACCUAGCCCGCAACACUGGAAGAAGAAACGCGCAGCCAUGAAAGAGAAGCAGAAGAGAAAAGGAAACAAUGAAGGAGGAGUCCCUGAGAUGGAAAAUAAUGGGACACCCCCACAAUAAAAAUCUCUUU